rnacentral:rRNA from 1 species
AGUGAACGCUGGCGGUAGGCCUAACACAUGCAAGUCGAACGGCAGCACAGUAAGAGCUUGCUCUUACGGGUGGCGAGUGGCGGACGGGUGAGGAAUACAUCGGAAUCUACUUUUUCGUGGGGGAUAACGUAGGGAAACUUACGCUAAUACCGCAUAAGACCUACGGGUGAAAGCAGGGGAUCUUCGGACCUUGCGCGAUUGAAUGAGCCGAUGUCGGAUUAGCUAGUUGGCGGGGUAAAGGCCCACCAAGGCGACGAUCCGUAGCUGGUCUGAGAGGAUGAUCAGCCACACUGGAAUUGAGACACGGUCCAGACUCCUACGGGAGGCAGCAGUGGGGAAUAUUGGACAAUGGGCGCAAGCCUGAUCCAGCCAUACCGCGUGGGUGAAGAAGGCCUUCGGGUUGUAAAGCCCUUUUGUUGGGAAAGAAAAGCAGCAGGUUAAUACCCCGCUGUUCUGACGGUACCCAAGGAAUAAGCACCGGCUAACUUCGUG